AUUCUAUUUUUCUACACCAUAAGUGAGGUUGAAAAGACAUUAUUUUUUACAGCUUUUUAGCUAAUUUAGAAUUCCUAAAGGGACUAUAGGUUUACAUUCUAUCAUUACAUCCAGUAUAUGUGUAGAAUAAGUUUUCAAUGCUUUUUCUGUAAUUCUGUUAUAUAAUGGUUACACAUUUGUUAAAAAAAAUAUCAGAAGGAUUUACAGAUAGAGUGAGUUGCCUUAAGGUUACGUUAUUUUAACAUAGUAAAGUAUUGAUAAUAGAAAAUUACUUGUAAAUCUCUCCUUUCUCCGCCUAUUUAUGAUUCCUUCUAUUGGUAUGACAUUUGGUAAAUUAACAGUUACAGAUUGUAAUAUCAUAAGAAGUAACAGAUCAUGCUAGAAUUUCAGUCAAGUUGUAAGAUUAUUGCAUAAGUGGUGGCCCUUGAAAAAAACAAAUUGCUUUAAACCCUAAGUUUUCAACACUUUCUUUUGUAAUGACUAAAACAGUUGAUUAGAUAUUUGAAUAAUUUGCACUUAUAUAUCAUAAAAAGUAACAUAUCAAGCUUGAAUUAUGCAACAUUAAAACAAAUAAAGCUCAUUUUAUCCACUGAAAAUGGAUUAUCUUUCUAAAGAAUUACAAUAAUGCAACAAUAUGCAAUAGUGCUAUAUAUUCAAUGGAACAUAAAAGUAUGUCUGAAAUAUGCAUACAACUACAACGUAUACCAAUCUUUCCAAAUGAUAUUUGGAUCACUUUGUUUUUUCUAACUUAUACUGAGUUAGUUGUACUAAAAGAUGUAGGUGUGAUACUGGCUCCUAGGAGCCUCUUGUUUAGUAUAAUGUAUACCAUUGGCCUGUGAAGUAUAUUUGUUUCAAGUAUGUAUUGCUAUAAGUGAUCAGUUGCUUUCCAUUGAAAUUGAUUUAGUGCCAUAAUUGAGAUAAAUCAUUUUUUUUAA
rnacentral:lncRNA from 1 species